CAAAAACAUCGCCUCCUGCAACACAACCAAGUAUAGGAGGUCCAGCCUGCCCAGUGACUACAAGUUCAACGGCCGCGGUAUUUUGACCGUGCAAAGGUAGCGCAAUCACUUGUCUCUUAAAUGGAGACCUGUAUGAAUGGCUAAACGAGGGCUUAACUGUCUCCCCCCUCCAGUCAGUGAAAUUGAUCUAUCCGUGCAGAAGCGGGUAUAAUAAUACAAGACGAGAAGACCCUUUGGAGCUUAAGGUACAAGAAUCAACCACGUCAAGCAACUUAAUAAAGAGCAAAAACUUUGUGGACAAUGAUUUUUUACCUUCGGUUGGGGCGACCACGGAGGAAAAAAGAGCCUCCAGGUGGACUGGGAAAACAUCCUAAAGCUAAGAGAGACAUCUCUAGGCCGCAGAACAUCUGACCAAUCAUGAUCCGGCUGACAAAGCCGAUCAACGAACCAAGUUACCCUAGGGAUAACAGCGCAAUCCUCUCCCAGAGUCCAUAUCGACGAGGGGGUUUACGACCUCGAU
rnacentral:rRNA from 1 species